rnacentral:rRNA from 1 species
GAGGAAUUAACAACGAUGGGUGAGAAAGUUACAGACGGAAAAACAUUAUUGAAAAGGAAAGCAAACCACCAAGGCGCUAUGCUAAUGGCUUUAUGGCCUUCAUCGAAUGGCAGUUGAUAGCUCACACCGAGAUGCCAACAGUAAUACACCUCCCCCCCUCUCCCCUGAAAUAUUUAUUUAUCUGGACUGCAUACCUUAUGUGCUUCCAACUGCAGCACACACAAGUACAGAGGGGUCCUCCUCGAAGAAGCUCAUGAUACCUCCUCUUGCUUAUGCUCGGAUAAAAGGCUCAUGAUGCCUUAGCUUCCAGACUUCGUCUUCCCCGAGGAUCGCAGAGGCGCAGCUAUAGAGGACAGGCUCUGGCGCUGGCAUGCAUCGACACCAAGGAUAAGAUCUACGAGAUGGCCAUGGCUGGUCCAGCUUGCAGAUUUCUCUCGUGUUUUCUGUGUUUUGUAGCAUGUCUUAUCGUUAUGGAGUCUGCUUUGUCUGCCCAUUCAUGGUGCACCCCACAUCCCAACCCGAGGGGAGAAGCGGAGUUUAAGCAGAAGACAGACAAGUUUUGGGAGUACCAGGAGCAGAGCAAUACCUGGGUGGAAAUAAGCAUGCCUUUCAAUCUCAUGUCCUGUAUCAACGGCACCUGCACAAAGGUAGGCUCGAUCAAGCAACCAGAAAGCAAACAUGGCCGUGCUUCCGUCUCGAGUCAAGAGAAGGAUACUGAUCCAGUCCUGCCCAUAAGGAAAAGAAUCUCCCUGGCAAGGAUGUCAGAGUCGUCCGUGUGGGUCACAGGGCAGAGCGGAUCAAUCUAUGAGAGGUUCUGGAACGGGGUCAUGUGGGUGAUUGCUCCUCAUGAGCUUCCAACGGCGGCUGGGUAUGCAACAGCAACUUUCAUCGUCAACACAACCAUCCUUGCUCUGUCCGAGGCUGGAAUCCUCUACCAGCUACAGCUAAAUGAACAUGCCCAGCCUAUCUGGACUGAGAUGACAUUCAGCUAUGAACAACAUUUCACAAACCUUGAAGAGAAGACACAAAGUCAAGCUACACACAUAAAAAAUGGGGUCGUAUCACAUAAUGGAAGGAAACUUUUCCUUUCUAUCACGAAUGGGUCCCUAAUUGAGGUCACAGAACUUCAGCCUCUAAGGUGGAAUUGCCAUGGGCGUCCCCCAGGAGCAGAUGUAUCAUAUAUAUCUGAUGCUGAAAAUGCAAGACCAGGGACCUUGUUCACAGUAAGUUCUACUGGAGACCUAUAUGAAUUUGAUAAGGAAACGAAGCCAUCAUGGAAAAAGCAUAUAUGGAGUGAACAAACAACCAAAAAUGUCUCGCUGAGCUCAUCUGUUGGGUGUGCUUUGCAUGGUCUCUUAGGCUCUAAUUCAGUAUCACUCUUUCUGAUAACCAAGGAUGGUCUUUUAGUGGAGCGGCGCUUGCAUAGAAGAAAGUGGAAGUGGGAUAAACAUGGAGCACCUAAGGGUCAAAGACUAAGUUCAAUUACAGAAGUUCAACAGGAUGAAUCUAAUGAUGCGACUUCAAUGUUUUUUACAACAACCACAGGAAAAGUAUUUGAGUAUCAGUUUCCAAAAUAUACAGGUGGGGCUUCAAGCAAUAAGAUUAGAGGACUAUGGGUAAAUCACAUGUCUCCUGACCAUGCAAAAGUAGCAGCAAGUGUUCGAGGUCUACAGAUUCAAGUUGGCAGAUUGAUAUUCCAGCUAGAUGAUGGUAGGCUUGGAGAGCUACAUUUACCUGGCAUGGGAGGUGGUCAUUUUGGUCCAAGUCAACAAAAUAGCAUAAGAAGGAAAGUGCCAAACAAGUAUGAGUGGUCUAUCCUAGAUACACCAGAAACAGAAGGUUGGAAUGCAGAAUAUUGCACUGAAGAGCAUGGCCCUACAAACUGUAUUACUGGAGCGAUGAAUGUAGCUGCAGAUACGGAACCAACCAACCUGAGCAAUGCCCCACCUAGAAGGCGUAAAGCAGAAGAGAAGCAACACUACCUGCAUGGUCAUAGUCAUGAGAGUGAUGAAACUGAAUCAUACAACAUUCUAUCACGAAGCAUUUAUCUUAACUUCCAUAUGCGGGUGAUGCAUGCAGAUAGAUCACUUUUCCUCAUAACAGAUAACGGAUUAACUUUGGAAUAUCUAAACAGCAAUGGUGUCUGGCUAUGGCUAAGACAUGAACACAUUACAGGCAUGAAGGGUACACUAGGAAGCUAUAAUGGCAGCUUGUAUCUUGUCGAUCUUCAUGGGAACUUGCAUAUUAGAGAAAGAAAUGGUGACGAACUCUUAUGGAUUAAUUGCACAGCAAUGAGGAAGGGAAGACAGGUUGCAAGUGGGCCUCCAUGGGAUGGCAUCCCUGGGUUAUCACGCAGAGUGACAACAGAUGAUGCACUUUUCUUUGUUAACAAGAGAGGCAGAUUGCUACAAUUCACGGUGGCAUUGCGUAAAUUCAAGUGGAAGGACUGCCACAGCCCUCCCGAUACCAAGGUUGCAUUCAUCGUGGAUCAGGAGGUGUUUAGAAGAAAUAUCAUCUUCGUGGUUGGCCGGAACGAUCGGAUGUACCAGUAUAACAGAAUUACAGAGCUAUGGCACAGGCACUACCAAUCACCUCACCUCGUCCUGUCAAGAUCCCCUGGGACAGCGAUGAGGCCGUCGCCUCUCUCCCUCACCGGCUCCAUCUUCAUGAUAUCCGAGCAGGGGGGCCUCGUGGAGUACCAUUUCAGCCCGCAUGACGGAUGGGAGUGGGUAGAGCACGGGACGCCCCACCGGGACGUGACCCUCGUGGUCGCCCCAGGGUCGUGCUUCGACGGCACCCAGCUGUUCGUCAUCGGGUCCGACGGACACGUCUACCUGCGGCACCUGGACGAGCGAACGUGGAGGUGGACGAGCCACGGGCACCCGUCGGAACCAUCCAGCACGACGACGGACGUUGCCGGCGGCGGCGAGCAGAGCUGCGCCACGCUGGGCGCCGCGGACGCGCACUACGCGAGCAGCUUCAGGGGGAGCUGCGACGAAAAGGUGGCGGCCGUGCGGCCGGUGCCGUUCUCCGAGGACGCGGUGGUCUUCGAGCUGCGCGACGGCCGGUUGGCGGAGCUGCGGCGUGCGGCGGAGGGUCGCAGCGGGUGGGAGUGGGCGCGGAUCAUCGGCACGCCCGCCAGCGCCUGCAUGACAAGCUACUGGACGGCCGUCGCCACGUAGCCGGCGGCGCCGGUGGGAAGGAAGCGGGCGGAAGCGCGGAGCUGGAACUCUAUUUGAACGGCAUACGCGCAAGAUACGAGUUGAAUGCUCAACUAGUUUACCAGUACCUGAUUAGUCGUGGCUAACGCAGGACAAGCUAGCUAUGUACACCUUGUUAAGAAAAACAGAGCCUACCUAUGUACAGUAGUCUAUGAUCAAGUUUUCUUGUGCAUCUCUAGCGGAUCCUGUAAACCGGGCCAUCUGACAAAAUAACCGUUGAUUUGCAGGACGAAGACUAAUUUGCCACCCGAAACAGAUUCAGUACAUUCUCUAGAUUUGUUUUUAAGGGAUCCU